GACUCCCAAGGGAGCCGAACUUAGCUCCGACUUCAGCAGAGAAAAAACCCAAGCAAAAAAGGAAAGCAAACAGUGCCCGAAGGCAACGGAAGCUCGAAUCCCCGAAUUCAAGCCCUAGGAGGGACCUCAGGCCCGAAGGGCCCCAAGCGAACCUGCAACCAUCGACGGAAUGAUAAUUGGAUAUCUUCGAACGGCGUAAGAGCCGAAAAGUAGCUCGGU
rnacentral:lncRNA from 1 species